GCCAGCAUAGCACAGUGGUAGUGCAGCCGCCUUGUAAGCGGCAGGUCGUCAGUUCGAGUCUGACUGCUGGCUCCA
rnacentral:tRNA from 1 species